CAGUGAUAAACUGGAGGAAGGUGGGGAUGACGUCAAGUCAUCAUGGCCCUUACGACCAGGGCUACACACGUGCUACAAUGGCGCAUACAAAGAGAAGCGACCUCGCGAGAGCAAGCGGACCUCAUAAAGUGCGUCGUAGUCCGGAUUGGAGUCUGCAACUCGACUCCAUGAAGUCGGAAUCGCUAGUAAUCGUGGAUCAGAAUGCCACGGUGAAUACGUUCCCGGGCCUUGUACACACCGCCCGUCACACCAUGGGAGUGGGUUGCAAAAGAAGUAGGUAGCUUAACCUUCGGGAGGGCGCUUACCACUUUGUGAUUCAUGACUGGGGUGAAGUCGUAACAAGGUAACCGUAGGGGAACCU
rnacentral:rRNA from 5 species